rnacentral:rRNA from 1 species
UACGUAGGGGGCAAGCGUUGUUCGGAACUACUGGGCGUAAAGCGCGCGCAGGCGGUUCUUCAAGUCAGUGGUGAAAGCCCGGAGCUCAACUCCGGAACUGCCAUUGAAACUGUGGAACUUGAGGAUGAGAGAGGUGAGUGGAAUUCCCAGUGUAGAGGUGAAAUUCGUAGAUAUUGGGAAGAACACCAGUGGCGAAGGCGGCUCACUGGCCCGAUACUGACGCUGAGGUGCGAAAGCGUGGGGAGCAAACAGG